rnacentral:rRNA from 1 species
AGAGUUUGAUCCUGGCUCAGAUUGAACGCUGGCGGCAGGCCUAACACAUGCAAGUCGAGCGGUAGAGAGAAGCUUGCUUCUCUUGAGAGCGGCGGACGGGUGAGUAAUGCCUAGGAAUCUGCCUAGUGGUGGGGGAUAACGUUCGGAAACGGACGCUAAUACCGCAUACGUCCUACGGGAGAAAGCGGGGGACCUUCGGGCCUCGCGCCAUUAGAUGAGCCUAGGUCGGAUUAGCUAGUUGGUGAGGUAAAGGCUCACCAAGGCGACGAUCCGUAACUGGUCUGAGAGGAUGAUCAGUCACACUGGAACUGAGACACGGUCCAGACUCCUACGGGAGGCAGCAGUGGGGAAUAUUGGACAAUG